UGGGGAAUAUUGCACAAUGGGCGCAAGCCUGAUGCAGCAACGCCGCGUGAACGAUGAAGGUCUUCGGAUCGUAAAGUUCUGUUGCAGGGGAAGAUAAUGACGGUACCCUGUGAGGAAGCCCCGGCUAACUACGUGCCAGCAGCCGCGGUAAUACGUAGGGGGCUAGCGUUAUCCGGAUUUACUGGGCGUAAAGGGUGCGUAGGUGGUCUUUCAAGUCGGUGGUUAAAGGCUACGGCUCAACCGUAGUUAGCCUCCGAAACUGGAAGACUUGAGUGCAGGAGAGGAAAGUGGAAUUCCCAGUGUAGCGGUGAAAUGCGUAGAUAUUGGGAGGAACACCAGUAGCGAAGGCGGCUUUCUGGACUGCAACUGACACUGAGGCACGAAAGCGUGGGUAGCAGACAGG
rnacentral:rRNA from 1 species